UUUGCACGGUACUGUAUGCCCUAAGAUCAACUGUUCAAAUAAGACUGUUGCAUAUUUUGGACUUUUUCAGCAUUGUUUUACAGUGUAGAAAGAAAUAAACAUCAGGAAAGACCAUGGAGUUUGAAGGUGUGUCCAAACAUUUGACUAGUAGUGUAUUUAUUUAAAUAAUUGGUGACUAGGAACUAAUAGGAAUCCGAACAAAAAUUUGAUUGUCUACGAUUACUGAGGUAAGUCGCAUAAAGCCAUUUGAAUGCUUGUUAGGCACUUAUAUAAAGCAUGCCUUGAAAGACUUGAAGGUUAUGUAUUAAAUAAUGUAAUUAUUUUCUCCCCGUAUGAAAUUAUUAAUAAGCAUAGCUUGAGCACUAUUUUAUUAAGACGUUAUUGUUUGCAGCAUACGUCUCUCUCUCUUGCUUGUUCUUGCAUCACCAAAAGCUUGUGGAUGAAGAUGGAAGGGCAAAGUAAAACUGAGAGAUUAUUUGCAGUACCAACUGAAAAUGUUUUAGAAUAAUAGCUGAAAUUAAGCAAUAUGCGUUUUUAUGUGUUGAUUUGAAAUGCAUGAAAGACACAUUUAUAUUAUAUAUUUAUGUACAUUUUUUAGGAAAAACAUUUAUAACUAGUACAAUAAAAAUUAGCAUACAGCCAUUAGCAGUACAACCAUUAGCAAAUCUAAUAGAGAACAUUAAGAACGCAUGGUCCAGUACCCAUUCUUUAACUGCACCAUCUGAUGUUUGGAUGGAAUAAAUUCCUUUCUAUACAUCACAAAACAUUUCUAUGUAUAUAUAAAAUGUGUUAUGUUUCUGCCUCUACUGUUUGUGAACUGAUUUUCCUUGUUUAUCUGCUGAUAAUGAGCUUUCAUGAAAUAAUAAAUAGCUUGGUUCAAAACAUUUAUUCCUACUACAGGAAGUAGAAAGUCAUCUGCUGUUCCUAAUGAUCAGAGUUAUGGAGGUAAACAGGGUGCAGUGUUUGCAUACGUGAUUGUCCAGAAAUCUAUAGGACGUACUGUGUGCUGCAUCUUUCCACUUUGUCAGGAGCAAAGUGUUUUCUUGUGGGUCUCGACCUUGUACCCGAGAAACCUCUAGCUUUACAUUGCCAUCAAGCUGCUGUAAGCUUCUCUCCUUGUUCCUUUGUGCACCUGAUUUCUGUGCCUGCAGCGCUGCAACAGCAGAUACAAAGCCCAGAAAAAAUGUGAAAAAUAUCUGCCUUGCUUUUUAGGAUAACAGGAGCAGGAUAACUCUGGUGCUGAAGGAAGAGAUGAGGUCUGUGCUGCAUGUCUCAUGGAAGCAAUUGAGAGUACCUACACAAACGGGCUGAUGUCUGAGGAACUCUGAGGACACUCACAUGGGCAAUAGAAGAAUAUAGGAAACUCAAACAAUAGACUUUCCUAGUAAUUUAACUAUGUAUGUUCAGUGUGAGAAUUAAAAAUAAACAUUUGUUUUCAUUUCAAAA